GGAGAGGUGGCCGAGUGGUUUAAGGCAGACGCCUGCUAAGCGUUUGUAGUGCCAAAAGCGCUACCCCGGGUUCAAAUCCCGGCCUCUCCG
rnacentral:tRNA from 1 species